rnacentral:rRNA from 1 species
UACAGCCACAUCAUGUUGGAACACCAGUUCCCAUAAGAUCACCAAGUUAAGCAAUGUCAAGCCUGGUCAGUACCUAGAUGGGUGACUGCUCUGGAAUACCAGAUGCUGUAA